rnacentral:rRNA from 1 species
UGGGGAAUCUUGGACAAUGGGCGCAGGCCUGAUCCAGCAAUGCCGCGUGCAGGAAGAAGGCCUUCGGGUUGUAAACUGCUUUUGUACGGAACGAAAAGGCUCUGGUUAAUACCUGGGGCACAUGACGGUACCGUAAGAAUAAGCACCGGCUAACUACGUGCCAGCAGCCGCGGUAAUACGUAGGGUGCAAGCGUUAAUCGGAAUUACUGGGCGUAAAGCGUGCGCAGGCGGUUUUGUAAGACAGGCGUGAAAUCCCCGGGCUUAACCUGGGAAUUGCGCUUGUGACUGCAAGGCUGGAGUGCGGCAGAGGGGGAUGGAAUUCCGCGUGUAGCAGUGAAAUGCGUAGAUAUGCGGAGGAACACCGAUGGCGAAGGCAAUCCCCUGGGCCUGCACUGACGCUCAUGCACGAAAGCGUGGGGAGCAAACAGGAUUAGAUACCCCAGUAGUCCCUGAGCGGGCUGGCAAGGCGCAU